CAAAGGUUUGGUCCUGACUUUACUAUCAAUUGUAUCCUGAUUUACACAUGCAAGUCUCCGCCUCCCCGUGAGAAUGCCCUUAAUGUCCUGCCCGGAAUUAAGGAGCAGGUAUCAGGCACAUUUAAUGUUUAUUAGCCCAUAACGCCUUGCUCAGCCACACCCCUACGGGUAUUCAGCAGUGAUAAAAUUUAAGCCAUAAGUGAAAGCUUGACUUAGUUAAGGAAAAGAGGGCCGGUAAAACUCGUGCCAGCCACCGCGGUUAUACGAGAGGCCCAAAUUGAUGAAAAACGGCGUAAAGCGUGGUUAAGAAAAUAAGAGAAAAUAUGGCCGAACAACUUCAAAGCAGUUAUACGCAUCCGAAGUCACGAAGAACAAUCACGAAAGUUGCCCUAAAGCCUCCGAUUCCACGAAAGCCAUAAAACAAACUGGGAUUAGAUACCCCACUAUG
rnacentral:rRNA from 1 species